rnacentral:rRNA from 1 species
GUGGGGAAUAUUGGGCAAUGGGGGAAACCCUGACCCAGCGACGCCGCGUGAGGGAAGAAGGCCUUAGGGUCGUAAACCUCUGUUGUGUGGGAAGAAGAGCGUGACGGUACCACACGAGGAAGUCCCGGCUAACUACGUGCCAGCAGCCGCGGUAAUACGUAGGGGACGAGCGUUGUCCGGAUUUACUGGGCGUAAAGGGCGCGUAGGCGGUCAUUUAAGUCAGCUGUGAAAUGGUUUGGCUUAACCGGAUCAUGCGGUUGAAACUGGAUGACUGGAGUGCUGGAGAGGCAAGUGGAAUUCCCAGUGUAGCGGUGAAAUGCGUAGAUAUUGGGAAGAACACCGGUGGCGAAGGCGACUUGCUGGCCAGUAACUGACGCUGAGGCGCGAAAGCCAGGGGAGCAAACGGGAUUAGAUACCCGUGUAGUCC